GAUUGAACGCUGGCGGCAGGCCUAACACAUGCAAGUCGAGCGGUAACAGAGAGGUGCUUGCACCUUUGCUGACGAGCGGCGGACGGGUGAGUAAUGCUUGGGAACAUGCCUUGAGGUGGGGGACAACAGUUGGAAACGACUGCUAAUACCGCAUAAUGUCUACGGACCAAAGGGGGCUUCGGCUCUCGCCUUUAGAUUGGCCCAAGUGGGAUUAGCUAGUUGGUGAGGUAAUGGCUCACCAAGGCGACGAUCCCUAGCUGGUUUGAGAGGAUGAUCAGCCACACUGGGACUGAGACACGGCCCAGACUCCUACGGGAGGCAGCAGUGGGGAAUAUUGCACAAUGGGCGCAAGCCUGAUGCAGCCAUGCCGCGUGUGUGAAGAAGGCCUUCGGGUUGUAAAGCACUUUCAGUCAGGAGGAAAGGUUAGUAGUUAAUACCUGCUAGCUGUGACGUUACUGACAGAAGAAGCACCGGCUAACUCCGUGCCAGCAGCCGCGGUAAUACGGAGGGUGCGAGCGUUAAUCGGAAUUACUGGGCGUAAAGCGUACGCAGGCGGUUUGUUAAGCGAGAUGUGAAAGCCCUGGGCUCAACCUGGGAACUGCAUUUCGAACUGGCAAACUAGAGUGUGAUAGAGGGUGGUAGAAUUUCAGGUGUAGCGGUGAAAUGCGUAGAGAUCUGAAGGAAUACCGAUGGCGAAGGCAGCCACCUGGGUCAACACUGACGCUCAUGUACGAAAGCGUGGGGAGCAAACGGGAUUAGAUACCCCGGUAGUCCACGCCGUAAACGAUGUCUACUAGAAGCUCGGGUCCUCGGACUUGUUUUUCAAAGCUAACGCAUUAAGUAGACCGCCUGGGGAGUACGGCCGCAAGGUUAAAACUCAAAUGAAUUGACGGGGGCCCGCACAAGCGGUGGAGCAUGUGGUUUAAUUCGAUGCAACGCGAAGAACCUUACCUACACUUGACAUACAGAGAACUUACCAGAGAUGGUUUGGUGCCUUCGGGAACUCUGAUACAGGUGCUGCAUGGCUGUCGUCAGCUCGUGUUG
rnacentral:rRNA from 1 species